rnacentral:rRNA from 1 species
UACGGGGGGGGGCAAGCGUUGUUCGGAAUUACUGGGCGUAAAGAGCGUGUAGGCGGUUCAGUAAGUCUGCUGUGAAAGUCCAAGGCUCAACCUUGGGAUGCCGGUGGAUACUGCUGAGCUAGAGUACGGAAGAGGCGAGUGGAAUUCCCGGUGUAGCGGUGAAAUGCGCAGAUAUCGGGAGGAACACCUAUUGCGAAGGCAGCUCGCUGGGACGUCACUGACGCUGAGACGCGAAAGCGUGGGGAGCAAACAGG